UUUGUAUCCUUUCAGAACAAAAAUUGUAUUAUAGCAUUAGCUUCAUAAAUCUGUCUCAAGAAACUGGCCUUCUGAGGCUUGUAACAAUUCCUACUGGCUGUUUAUGAGCCAACUGAAAGAGGAUUGAUCGAGACAACUGUGUUUUAGAUUUCUGUGUCGGAACCAUUUUGUCUUGUCAUACCGUGAGCGGUUUGGUCUUGUUUCUCUAUUCCUGCCUGGGCUUGCUUGCCUUCCCUGAACAACUGCUUCCUGUGUGAGCUAGCAGCAGCUAGUACCACACUCAGAAAGAACCUAAUGAUUUAGAGGCUUCCUCCCUUUCACAGCUUGAAUUCCACAAUAAAAUGCUUUAGUAGCUUUUACUUGGGAGAUUCGUCUAAAAACUAUAAAGGCGGUCGCUUUUAAAAUGAUCUUGUAUCGUCCGAUGAUUUCAUUUUUUUCAAGCUAACUUCACCAUUUACAGAGCAUUGUACGGUGUUAUUGUUUUCAUCUUGCCUGACUAGUUUCAGUAUUACGCCAACCCAACAGAGUGGCCGGAUCAUAGACAUCUGUUAUUUUAUUACAGGAAACCUAAAAGGCAGUAAAUAGGAUUUCUAAAAACAACACGAAGGCCAGCCUAUACUUUACUCAGUCAGGACUAUUGGAAAUGGAAACCAAAGGAUGGCCUUGAGAAUAACAAUAAGAGCAACUGUCAAAGGUGAAUAGAAGGCUUUAUCCUGUUCCGAAUCCUCUUUUCCUGUCAGCUGCCCCCCUAGCCCCAGUCCACUCGUCCUGUUUCAGUAUUUUACUUAAAACCCAUGCUGAGUACUGUAGACAUGGCUUAGAUAACCUACCUAGGUUUUAAUAAUGUAUAACAGGUAAAGGUUUAGAAAUAAUAAAUAUAACCACACAGACACCUUAACUGAUGACCUUAUUGAGAACCCAAAUAACCACUGGAUUAGUCUGAUAAUAUCAAGAGAACAAUAGUGCAUUCAGUCCAAAUGUAUAGCCUGUUAAAUCUAUUAGCUAAGUUAUAGAGAGCAGAGCUCAUUAUGUUUCUAAUUAGCUGCAAAGCCUGUAGCCAUUUAUAAGCAGUUUGCCUUCACUCAAAGCACGUUCCUUUUCAUUUCAUUUCAUCUGUGCAGAAUAGAUUGGCUAGACCUUAUUAAUACAAACCCCACGGUAUUAUUCAAUUGAGUUUUUCUAUCAUUUGCUCAUUGUAUUCUAUGUCACAGAUCAAGAAAAUCACUGUCAGCUGCUUUUGCACACUUCUCUUUUGGGGGCACAGUCUUACAAGCGCUACAUAGACCAGCUCAUGGUUAAUGGAAGACAUAGGAGUAAAAUGUGACUUUUGUACUGGCUCUGAAGAGACGUCGCAUUGUGGUCUUGCUAUGCCAUCUUUUCCGGGCAACAGUGAAGACAGAGCUGGGGUGGAGACAAAGUGUGCAUGUCACUUCCUUUGGCACAGGAAAUGGAGAAAUAAAAAAUACAGAAUGUGGCGGACACAGUAGCAAAUUUAAAUAAAUACUAAUCAGUGAUAAGCCUUUCCUCCAAUUGACUAAUGUCCAGCUGGUGUAAAGCCAACCUCUGAUCCUAUUCUUUAAGGAAACAACUGAUACUGUACCUGAACUGCUGUAUUCAUACCUCCCCCAUCCCUCCCUCAACAUAGCAGUGGUAGUAAAAAUCUCAAUGCAUCAGAUUACUACCUUUACAGCCCUCUCCUUCCCAAACCUUCUAAAUUUUAAGAGAGAAGUUUGUGUGUGUGUGUGUAUGCGUGAGAGAGGGAGACAGAAGAAUGACACAACACCAGAGGCAAGCGUUCUAUAAAUACAUCUCGAGAGAUUACAAGUGCGUUUUCCAUGAAAAUGAGUGGCAGAGCAACAUGAUCACACAGGCGUCAGGACCCCUGUUGGCUGCAGCCUGGUAGCCUCUGGGUGCCAAUGUGUUAAUUGGUCAAUUUGAAUUCUAAUCUUCUAGCAGCCUGACUAGCUGCCUUGCCCUGGGAGCAUGUUGUUGUACCAUAUUAAAAGGUAUUAAAGGGAUUCUUCAUAUUAUCACCAUGUUCUUAAUAUUAUAUUUCCUACCUGUGAAAUACUGUAGUUUCUAAUACAGUUAACACAUUUUUAUUGAGCACUGUAUCUUCAUCCUGGAGAACACAGAAUUGUGCUUUAAUUACAUUCACUCAAUUUAAGUUAACAUCAUCACAGCGGCCAUUUAAAAAAAAAAAAAAAAAAGAAUCAAAACAAAAUUGUACAUGUUUUCUAAAACUAUUGUGAACCCCCUCCUCCAAGUAAGGAGCCAAGAACAACAGAAUAUGUGAUGUGUAAUGAAAUAAAAUGCCCAAACCAGGCACUCUGGCAAUAAACAUUCUUACAGAAUUAGAGUAUGACAUCAUCGGAAAACAGAACUCAAGGCAUAUUCUGUUUAUUGUUGCUGAACAGAGUUUAAAAUGGCAGUUUCAUGGAACGUGUGGUUUGCUGUAGCAGUGCAUACUGGGAUACUAAACCAUUUCCAGAACCAUCUCUGUCAGCUUUUUGAGAAAAUAUAUGACGCAAGAAUGGAUGCGCUUAACAGUACGACUGUGGCGGGGUACACCCGCCCCUGUGAGUGUUUUCUUUGUUUUGCAUUUGUGUCGUGUUAUUAUUAUGGAAAUGUAUGUUAUGGUUGCACUGUUGUUUUAGGUCGGCAGGGAAGGGUUAAUUACCUUGCCUGCCAAAUCACUUCACGUGUCGAAUGUGCCUGAGCUCGAUUGAAUUAUUAACAAGCAAUCGAGCUCAGGCACAGACGUAUAAAAGAGCAGAUCAGCCGAUAAUAAUGGGGUUGAGUGUUCAGAGUGGAGAACGUGAGACAGACAGUAAGAUUUGUAAAAGUAAACAACUACUACUCAUGCUGGCUUUAAACCAACACGAUACUUGUUUGUUCAGUGUCUGUUUUAUCUGUCUGUUUUGGCCAUUUAUUUUGUAUUAAGUGUUUUGUUUAAACAUUUUAUUUAAUAAAUACUCGCACCAGCGCUUCACA